rnacentral:lncRNA from 1 species
GCAGGUAGCGAGCGGGCGAGGCGUGGUGUCACUAGUACAUGGAAGGGCUUUAGCCUCGGGCCGUAAGGGCCUUUAGUCCCGGCUACAGAACCGGGGCUAAGGUUUCGGGACUAAAUGUCCCACCUUUAGUCCCGGUUCCGCGGACCGGGACUAAAGGUCCACCUUUAGUCCCGGUUGGUAACAGCAACCGGGACUAAAAGGUGUGCCAGGGUGUACCACCUGGCCUCCACUUUUAGUCCCGGUUGUGGCUACCAACCGGGACUAAAGACUUUUUUCUUUUUUUUUCUUUUCAUUUGGUUUUCCAUUUAGGUUUUACAAUUAUAUUAUUGUUAUUUUCGAAUGCGUAUUGUUUGCUGGUAGUUUAUGGAACGCGCACCUAUAAUUUAUAUAAUUUAAAGCAUUACAUAUAAAUAUACUAGAAAACACUAUAUAUAUUAUAUGUAUCUAUAGGUCCAUAAUAUAAGAUUUACACAUAUGCUUCACGGACAAAGUAUUUACAACACAAUUUAUCUCCGCCACUCAAGCAUCGUACAAAUGAUCAUCGUGAUUUGGUUGCAUUGGCUCCUGAGGGUUGAAGUAGCACUCGCCGCCGGGAUUCAGGACUUGGUUGUUAAGAAAUCCUACGAUUGUCUCCUGAAUUCCUUUUAGGCGCACCGCAUCCAACACCUUCUCCUUCAGCCACAUCUCUUUUAAUAGACAUUAAAGAAAAAAGUUAGAGGUAUGAAUAGGAUUUAUUAAAUAGCAACAAAUAAAUAAAAUAAACUUAUUAUAUAUACAUGUUACAUACUUUUAGGUGCUCAAGAUUAGUUCUUUUGGCAUAGACCGUCAUAAACUCGCACACAUAGUAGCC